UCGACUUAAACUGCGCUCGGGAGAUGAAAAGACAAUUGCCCGCGAAUGUUUGAAAGCGGGACAAAUCCAAGCACAGAAGGGACUUCGGAACGACUACGGAAUUGCUAACAUCGUUAACAAUUGCGUAGUUCCGGUUCCAAUGAAUAUCUGUCUGAUCUGAGGAUCGAAAAGUGUGGUCGCCCAUUCCGACUUUGUCCGUGGAAGAAGGCGGAAGCGGUUAGUGAUUUUGUACCGCGUGUUACCCGUGUUGAAGUGAGAUUAGAAAACUAGUAGUGCGAAUUAAUUGAUACGCUGAAGAAGUUAGAUACUCUCCAGUGCACCAGCAAACCUAAUUGGAGAAAAAGCCGCUUACUGACCCCACGUGCGAGGUCUGGAAGUUACCAUCAUACUCGUCAAUUCUGGUGGCCGCGCGGUGCGCUUACGCAAGACGGCACUCGCGCCAAAAGGGGAAACAGCACACAGUACGCAGCACGGAGCCAUCACUCGUCCGUGUGCGUACUCGAGAUUCAUUGUCCCGUUCAACGUCUGCAGCGAACGACGGUAAAGCAGAACCACGUAAAACCUAGGUCGUGAGUACAAAUCUAUUUAUUUCCGUAACUAAUACAUGCGCAUGUAGGGAAUAAAUAGAGACAGAAGAACCACACAACUAAUAAAUGCCACACAACAAUGCCACACUAGAUUUUGUACAGUGUUCUUACCGACAGUGAGCGCAAGCCCGUCGGCAGAAAGA